UGGUGAGUUCAUACAGACAUCUGUCCUAGU
rnacentral:piRNA from 1 species